AUUCCACAGAACUUCAAGUUGAGGCCUGGAGGAGUGGCAGGUUUGGGGUAGGGUGUGGAUUGGAGGUGGGGGUGGAGCUUCAGAGAGGGGUCAAGAGGAAAAGGAGGGGGGGAACAUUUGAUAAAAACUGGGCAGAGGAUGGGCAGAGUGUGACACACAUUCGUGGGAGGCCUGCAGGAGAUAGCGGGAACAAAGUCCAGGUGAGGAAGAGCUUGACCAGAGAGAGAGGCCAAAGAAUGAGGUGACUUCAGGAAACGUUUGGUGUUUGCAGGGUGUGGGCUGGAAACAGUGCUUGGGCGAGUCUUGGCCCUCCUGACUGGAAAGUGGGAUCUUUCUGGGGGAUAGGCUGAUGAGCCCAAGUUUCCAGUAAGGUGAAGGUGCUUCUGAAGACCCAUGAGAUGUAGAGUCUGACUUCUCUGAUUUGGUGGUCGUUGCAGAUUGAAGAAGACUGCUGAUAGGCAUGGUGUCUGCGAACCCCUUUUUGAGUUCACUGUCUUUCUCACCAUUUCUGAAGGCCAUGGGAAUUCGUGGAAGGGAAUCUGACAAGCACUCUCAAAUACAGAUUUCUGAAAACGUUCCGAUCAUACAACUGAACUGCUUUAAAUGCGUGUUCCCAGCUGCUGACCACCCAGCAUGUGAUCUCCUGAAGAUUGGACUGUCAGAAAAAGGAGAGGACAAUGAGCUUAAAAAUUAUGAACUUUGGGACACCAGUUGACUCAGUCGGUGGAGAGUGACGUCUAACCAGUCAACCUGGAAGUCCCUGAGCAGCACUAGGAAAUUUACAGAUAGGCGCCUCCUGUGCCCCUUAGAAGGGAGACCUUACCUAAAACAAUACCCUCUUCGCUGGUAAUUCCCUCCCCUUCCCCUCCUCUCUGCCUUAACAAACCUUUCUUUUCUACAGCUGCACAGAGCUUUUUUCUGUUUGCUAGGUGAGAUGCUGUUGGAUUCAUGAACUGUUCAUAAAGCCAAUUUGAUUUUUUAAAUUACUUAGUGAAAUUUUUAUUAACGUCGCCAGUCCACAGUUGAGGAAAAGGAAACUGUCAGAGAAAUAAAACGAGUUGCCGAAAAUCACCCAGACCAAAGUUGGCAGCAUCUCGCGCUAGGGCAAGGAACAAGAGGUGGGGUCAGCAUCUUGCCAGGCGUCCCAGAACCCGCUGGGACUCCCCAGAACCUCUCCAAACCUCAAAGAACCUGCUAGUUUCCAGGCUACCCCAAAUGAUCCCUGCCCUGCCCCCUUUCUUGGUUCCUUAGAGAGCAACUCUGGGGAGAAAAGGUGGCAAAAGAUGGGGCGCAGGAACCCAACUUUAAGAGGCUCCUUAAGAGAGCGUGACCUCUCAGACAAGAUUUGUAGGGAGCAGAGGAAGGAAGAGGGGUGUGGCCUGUGGAGAUGAUUUCUGGGAAGUGGUGGGAGCAGCAGGGGAGGGAGAGGGUGGCUGACUCAGUUUCAUCUUUGAGGACACAAAGGAAGCAGGGAGCAGGGCUGGUGCAGAGAAAUCAAUCACUGGAUGGCCUGGGCCAAGGGUUGGGGGUGGGUGUUGGAAUCCCAGCCCCCAGCUAAGCAUAAGAGGGGUGGGUGGAUGUCCGUGCAAAUGGAAAGAAGCCUCAGUGCAGGGCUGCAAGAGGAAUUUGAAGCCAGCGCCGCACCCUCCCCCUACCCAGGACAAAAGUGCACACAGACACAGGAAGGGUCUAGAUACGUUUAAGGUCAACAGGUCCCCAAGCCUAAGGGGAUCUGGAGGCAGUCUCUGUCCAAGAGGCUAAAAAGCUUGCAAACACAGGACCGGGUGCCCAGGCCAGAGAUACCAGAGGGAAAACCAUGGAAAGAUCUGGAAGGAUAGUUGGAUGAUGUGUAGUUGAGGGGGUGUUGUAGGUGGUCUGGGCUUCUCACUGCAAGGAGUGGCUGGAGGCUGGGGGAGGGGGGAUCUGGGGUAGAGACUCCAAGGUCCUUGAUCCUUCCUGCCAGGGCAGUAGUUUGGCAGGCAGCAAGUCUCUAAGCAUAAAAAUUAUUUGAAACAGAACACCUUUCAGGCAGGAAGGAACUCACAUGUUGCCACAAUUCUCGACCCUAUGGGCCUCAUACCCAGGAGGGUUGGUUCAUUUCUACCAUCAGCUGGCUGGUGUGGGUGUUAGAUUUUUGACCUUUCAGAUGCCCACACUAACACCUUUGCAGGCCCCAAAAGAAGAGAAGAGGUUAGGCCCUGUGGGUCCCUAACUUUGCCCAGUGCUGUCUCCCCUGAUGUUGCCCCUUGGUACCCUGCUCCGUACAGUCAGCUGGGAGGGCCUGCUGUGCUUUUAGCAACCCUGGGACCGCACAUAAAGCUGUCAACAGCGCCCUCUAGUUUCGUGACAGUCCUGCCUUCUUCCCUGGAAGUAGGGUGACACCCUGAGAGCUCCUGGGGCCCCUCUUUGGGGCUGGGGAAGUGAUUUCCACCCCUGCCCGGAAUUCUCUGGCAUAGGUACAUGGAGACACAGAAGCCAGUGGCAUGGACUGUUUAUUAUAAUAACGUUCCCCACGUGAGGCAGAGAAGAGGGGGGCUGUGCCAGGAGGGAUAGUCAGCAGGUAGAUGUGAGCAGGAAAGUGUGGAGAGCCUCCACAGCCACUAGGGAAGUGACAAUCUUGGUAAAAUAUACUCAGGGAGAGAGAUAGAGAGGGAGGGAGAUGGGGGAAUCCAGCCACCAGAAGCAGGCUGGGGAGGAAGGGAAACACGAUGGGCUGGGAAGGUGGAUGCUGGAGGGCUUGGCGCUGGAGAAAACCUCGGCAUCCGGGGCCACUAGC